rnacentral:rRNA from 1 species
CGGUCCAGACUCCUACGGAGGCAGCGGUAACCAAUUCCCCGCAAUGGGCGAAAGCCUGACGGAGCAAUGCCGUGUAAGUCUAAGUUAAGCCUUCGGGUCGUCAACUUCUCGUUCUCAGUAAGUUAGUACAAAUCGUAGAGUAACCCUACAGUCUCGACGAGUAUCUUCAUCAUAAGCCACGAGCUAACUACGUGCCAGCAGCCGCGGUAA